AGCUCGGUAGCGCAACGGUAGCGCGUCUGUUCCCGAUUUUGGGCUGAUGUGUACCUAAUGGUUGAUGGAAGAUCUCGGUUCGACUCCGAGUCGAGCUA
rfam:Stereum hirsutum FP-91666 SS1 unplaced genomic scaffold STEHIscaffold_24, whole genome shotgun sequence.